rnacentral:rRNA from 1 species
AUUGCACGCUGGCGGCAGGCCUAACACAUGCAAGUCGAGCGGAGCGGCGGAAGGGUGAGUAAUGCCUAGGAAUCUGCCUGGUAGGGGGGGAUAACGUCCGGAAACGGGCGCUAAUACCGCAUACUGUCAGAUGAGCCUAGGUCGGAUUUGCUAGUUGGUGGGGUAAAGGCCUACCACGGCGAAGAUCCGUAACUUGUCUGAGAGGAGGCUCAGUCAAACGGGAAAUGAGACACGGUUCACAUUCCUACGGGAGGAAGCAGUGGGGAAUAUUGGACAAGGGGCGAUAGCCUGAUCCAGCCAGGCCGCGUGUGUUAAGAAGUUCUUCGGAUUGUAAAGCACUUUAAGUUGGGAGGCGUGAACAACAGAAUAAGCACCGGCUAACUUCGUGCCAGCAGCCGCGGUAAUAC